UAAAAGGUAAACAAAGCCUAUCCAUCUGGAGGACCCUAGCUCUAUCUUCCCUCUGGAGCUUAAACAAAAAGAACAAAACAGGAGUUGCUCUUGCCCCACUUCCAACACAUCACCCAAUUUAUUAGUCGCCCAUCUGGCUGGCUGUCCACUGGGUUCAAUGGGACUUACUUCCAGGUGCGAGCUUCCAACUUGCAAGGUCUUGUUUAUAAAAAUGGCCAGGCUGGGAUUACUGAAGCUACUGUAUCAAUCACCUUUGAUAAUUUUGACAAGAAGCGGAGUCCCCUAGGAUUUGAGAAGCAUGAUGAGAUAACAGUCACAAGGCAGAUGAGCUACUGAUGGAUUCCAUGAGUUUCUAAGUAUUUUAUAUCUUUUAACAGAACUGUAAAUAGACCAGUAUAUUCUGAAAUCCUUUAUUUUGGCACAUGCCAAGUACUUUACUUGCCUAAGUACUGUAACAUCAGACUACAAAAAAAGCUAUGAUAUAUAAUAGGCCCUUGUUUCUUCCUUCUCAAGGUGGUGAUUGGAGGCAGGAAUAAGUAUCUAAUCAAUUGUGUGAAUGCAAACAAUUUUGUUGUUGUUAUGUGCCUUCAAGUCGACUACGAUUUAUGGCGACCUUAUGAAUCGGUGAUCUCCAAGAGCAUCUGUCAAGAAUCACCCUGUUCAGAUCUUGGACAAAUUUCCAAAAUUUUCAAUAUGAAGCCUCCAGAGAUUUUGGCUGUGAUUGAGGAAGCUGAUGGCACUAGGAUGUAUGAAUGCAAGAAAAUAGUUGCCCAGAAAACCAUUGAGAAAAAGAGGCAAAACUUAAAGAAAUUUGCAUGAUUGUAGAGGAAGAAAUCACACCCACGUUGCAGAAACUGAAAGAGGAGCGAUCUUCAUAUUGGGAAUACCAAAAGGUCAUGCGAGAGACAGAACAUCUGAGUCGCCUGUAUGUUGCGUAUCAAUUUGUGCUAGCUGAAGAAACCAAGACACACGCUGCUGAUGUGCUAAAGGAAAUGGAAGGCAAUAUUGCCAAACUUCAGGAGGAGAUGACUGAGAAUGAGAAGAAAGUGAAGGAACUUGGCAUACGUUGGGAUCAACUUGAAGGCAGGCCAUUUCAUUUUAAAUAUAAACACAAAAACUAAUCACAAAGCCCUGCUCUACCCUGAUGCUCCUGGAGCAGGUAGGCCAGACACGUUUCUGCCUUUUGGGCUUCUUCAGUGACCAACUAAAUAAAACCCACCAACAAAAUAGACAAAGCGCCAGCUUGUUCCUUGCCCUGGACUGUCCUACCCUCCUAAUCUCUGAAGAAGAUGACAGAUUUUCUAUAUAUGCUCCUGGUUAUGCUUCCUCCAACUGUAAACUUUGGUUUUCUUGAUAGGCCCACAGAUCUUUCUGGAAUGUGCAAGAUGAAGAUUAUUUUGUAUGUUUUGUGGAGGAUUGAUAGAGUCUUGUAUUUGGACAAGCCUGAUUCAUGUUCUAGUUGAGAAUGGCUGCAUUAAAGCCUUUCUGUGAGUGCCAUUAAAACCACAUAUAUUGUGAUUUUGAGAGGCUAUCUGAGGUAUUAUCCACUGUGAUUCAUACGCUGUUUCUUGAUUAUUUUCCUUCUUUGGCCCCUGAAGAAAACUAAAAGGUGGAAACGCAUCUGGCCUAUCUACUCCAGGAGCACUGAUCUUAAACAGAUACGUGCCUCGUAAGGGCAUUGGAGUGUUUUCUUGUUAGUAGUUGCAUUUAUUUUACUUCAUGACUAUUAAAUAUUUAAAU